CUCCCCACCUUGCGGGGGUGGUCUCCAUGGCGACGGUGACGCGGCUGCGGCGCCAUGUCGGACCUGGGCUCGGAAGAGUUUGAGGAGGAGGCGGAGACCGACCUCGGGGAGUAUGAUGGUGAGCGCAAUGCAGCAGGUGAACGGCAUGGACAUGGACGAGCUCGGUUACCCAAUGGUGAUACAUAUGAAGGAGAAUAUGCAUAUGGUCUAAGAAACGGAUUGGGAACCUACAGAUUUAAAAAUGGUGCUCGCUACAUUGGAGAAUACCUUCAAAACAGAAAGCAUGGCCAUGGCAUUUUUAUGUAUCCAGAUGGAUCAAAGUAUGAAGGAGAAUGGGUGGAGGAUGAAAGACAUGGCAACGGAGUAUAUUACUAUGCAAAUGGAGACACCUACACUGGAGAAUGGUUUAACCAUAGAAGGCAUGGACAAGGUACAUACAUCUAUGCAGACACUGGCUCUAAAUAUGUUGGUGGCUGGGUUAAUGGGAGCCAGGAAGGAGGAGCUGAACUCAUUCACCUGAACCACAGAUACCAGGGCAAGUUUGUAAAUAAAUACCCAAUAGGUCAUGGAAAGUAUGUCUUUGAUAUUGGGUGUGAACAGCAUGGGGAAUACGUACAGUCAGAUCUGGACAAAGGGGAGGAGGAAGAAGAGGAGGAAACUUCAGCCGUAAUUUCUCCAAAAUGGAAAGCAACAAAAAUUACUAAAUUGACUCUCUGGACUCCUGCCCCUGAGAAACCCCCACCUCCUGAAGAGCCUGCAGCAGCAGCAGCAGCAGCAGCAGCAGCAGCAGAAGAGGAGCCAGCAAAUGCAGUUUCUCCCAUCUCAGUUGCUGCAGAAGUUGUUGAGAGUGCAGAGCCUCCUGCUGAAGAGUCAACUGAAGCUAUAACCUCACCUAAAGAAUCAGAAGAGGAGGAGGAAGUUAACAAAGAAGAUGAAGUGGAUCAAGGUGAAGAAGAAAGAGAAACAAUAAAUACUAAUUUAGAAGAGAAGGAGGAGGAAACAAAGGAAGCUGACGAGACAGACAUAAGUAGAGAUGAUUAACACCAAAUAAGGAAAUUACACAGAAAAACCUAGGAGUCACCUAGACUGAUGUGAAAACUGGAUGACACCUGGAGAGCCAACACACAAGUGAGAAACUUGAGGGAGACAACAUCUCUAUAUCUACAGCAAUAAGCUGAGUUUCUGAGUAGGAGUCAGUGGAGUCAGACAGAUGCUGUGGAAAGUGAGAAACUAGCACCUUUGCUGUGACAUACAUUUGAAUACCUGUUGAUCCAGGAAAAUGAAAGGAUUCCUCCAUCAACUCAUUUAAAGCAAAGGACUUUACUUAGCUGAAGAAAUCCCCUGCACCCAGUUCGGUGUGAGGUACCGAUCACCCAGCCUUCACUGACAUCAGAUUGCUGUGUUCGGUCAACGAAUAUCAAAUCCCCAGCAUUCAGCAUUAGUUCAUCAAUGUUCUGAGGCUUGUAUUGGAAAAUUGCUCGCAAGGUCUGAUGGAGAAUAAAAAAAUAUGUCACUUCCAGGACUCUAUUAUAAAUUAUGGGGAAUUUCAGAGAAGAUCUGUGCACUGUACACUGAAAAAUCAAUGCCUUUUGUAUACAGUAACUUAUUUAUGGAUGACAUUUUUCUUUAGCAGAGAUAGAGUGUAAUAGUAUAGGUCCAAUAUAUACAUAAAAUGAAUGUCCAGUACAUUUGGUCUUCAUAAAAAAGUUACGUACAACAACAAUAGAUUAGUAACUACAUAAAAUAUUUUAUGGUACAUUUCCCGCAACAAUUUUCAGUUCUCCCAUAUUGCCAAUAAAAUCCUGCUAUAAGAUCCUGAAUAGCACAAUAUACUGUAUUGGAAUGAUAUGUUUGAAAACUGCUGAAAAAUCAACAUGAACAUUUUAAAAAAUUUAUUAAAAAAUGAAAAAUG